rnacentral:rRNA from 1 species
CUCAGUUCGGAUCGGAGUCUGCAACCCGACUCCGUGAAGCUGGAUUCGCUAGUAAUCGCGCAUCAGCCACGGCGCGGUGAAUACGUUCCCGGGCCUUGUACACACCGCCCGUCAAGCCAUGGAAGCCGGGAGUGCCUGAAGUGCGUGAGCGCAAGCAGCGCCCUAAGGUAAAACCGGUGACUGGGGCUAAGUCGUAACAAGGUAAC